rnacentral:rRNA from 1 species
AUUGAACGCUGGCGGCAGGCUUAACACAUGCAAGUCGAGCGGGGGAAGGUAGCUUGCUACCGGACCUAGCGGCGGACGGGUGAGUAAUGCUUAGGAAUCUGCCUAUUAGUGGGGGACAACAUCUCGAAAGGGAUGCUAAUACCGCAUACGUCCUACGGGAGAAAGCAGGGGAUCUUCGGACCUUGCGCUAAUAGAUGAGCCUAAGUCGGAUUAGCUAGUUGGUGGGGUAAAGGCCUACCAAGGCGACGAUCUGUAGCGGGUCUGAGAGGAUGAGCCGGCACACUGGGACUGAGACACGGCCCAGACUCCGACGGGAGGCAGCAGUGGGGAAUAUUGGACAAUGGGGGGAACCCUGAUCCAGCCAUGCCGCGUGUGUGAAGAAGGCCUUAUGGUUGUAAAGCACUUUAAGCGAGGAGGAGGCUACUCUAGUUAAUACCUAGGGAUAGUGGACGUUACUCGCAGAAUAAGCACCGGCUAACUCUGUGCCAGCAGCCGCCGUAA